rnacentral:lncRNA from 1 species
ACUGUGAACAGAAGGAUUUUGAUUUUUAAGAUGCCUGGGAAGUGGAUUUCUGCUCUUCUCCUGCUACAGAUAAGUUGCUGUUUCCAAUCUGGGAACUGUGGGAAGGUGUUGGUGUGGCCGAUGGAAUUCAGCCACUGGAUGAAUAUAAAAACAAUACUGGAUGAACUUGUACAGAGGGGCCAUGAAGUCACUGUUCUGAAACCUUCGGCUUACUAUGUUCUUGAUCCGAAAAAAUCGCCAGAUCUUAAGUUUGAAACUUUCCCUACAUCUGUCAGUAAAGAUGAACUGGAAAAUUAUUUCAUAAAGCUUGUGGAUGUGUGGACUUAUGAGUUGCAAAGAGAUACAUGUUUGUCUUAUUCUCCUUUACUACAAAAUAUGAUAGAUGGAUUUUCUGAUUACUAUCUAAGUCUUUGUAAAGACACCGUUUCAAACAAGCAGCUCAUGGCAAAACUACAGGAAUCCAAGUUUGAUGUUCUUUUGUCAGAUCCUGUGGCUGCCUGUGGGGAGCUGAUAGCCGAAGUGCUCCACAUUCCUUUUCUGUACAGUCUUCGCUUCUCUCCAGGCUACAAAAUUGAAAAGUCCAGUGGAAGAUUUAUAUUACCUCCAUCUUAUGUACCAGUAAUUUUGUCAGGAAUGGGUGGCCCAAUGACAUUCAUAGACAGGGUAAAAAAUAUGAUAUGUACGCUUUAUUUUGACUUUUGGUUCCAUAUGUUUAAUGCCAAGAAAUGGGAUCCAUUUUACAGUGAGAUUUUGGGAAGGCCCACCACCUUAGCUGAGACAAUGGGCAAAGCAGAAAUGUGGCUCAUUAGAUCCUACUGGGAUUUGGAAUUUCCCCACCCAACAUUACCAAAUGUUGACUAUAUUGGAGGACUCCAAUGCAGACCUCCUAAACCCUUGCCCAAGGAUAUGGAAGAUUUUGUCCAGAGCUCUGGAGAGCAUGGCGUGGUGGUGUUUUCUCUGGGGUCAAUGGUCAGCAGCAUGACAGAAGAAAAGGCCAAUGCAAUUGCAUGGGCCCUUGCCCAGAUUCCACAAAAGGUUCUUUGGAAAUUUGAUGGCAAAACCCCAGCAACAUUAGGACCCAAUACCAGAGUCUACAAGUGGCUCCCGCAGAAUGACAUCCUGGUCAUCCAAAAACCAAAGCCUUUGUAACUCAUGGUGGAGCCAAUGGUGUCUAUGAGGCCAUCUAUCAUGGAAUCCCUAUGGUUGGCAUUCCUAUGUUUGGAGAACAACAUGAUAACAUUGCCCACAUGGUGGCCAAAGGAGCAGCUGUUACACUGAAUAUCAGGACAAUGUCAAAGUCAGAUUUGUUCAAUGCACUAAAGGAAAUAAUAAACAAUCCAUUCUAUAAAAAAAAUGCUGUGUGGUUGUCAACCAUUCACCAUGACCAACCUAUGAAGCCCCUGGACAAGGCUGUCUUCUGGAUUGAGUUUGUCAUGCGCCACAAAGGGGCCAAGCACCUGAGACCACUUGGACAUAACCUUCCCUGGUACCAGUACCACUCUCUGGAUGUGAUUGGAUUCCUGCUCACCUGUUCGGCAGUCAUUGCAGUCCUUACUGUAAAAUCCUUCUUGUUUAUUUACCGACUCUUUGUGAAGAAGGAAAAGAAAAUGAAGAAUGAGUAGAGCUCAUUGACAAUGCACUACAGGAAUGAAAUUUCAGCCUCAUUCUAAUUUAUGAAUCACCUUCUUAACACUUCCUGAUUAUUUUUUUGUCAAGGCAGAUCAUCUUUGUAAGAAGACAUAUAACUCCAUAAAUACUGAUAUGUUAUCAAAAAUUCCAUCAUUCAUAAAUUUUAAUAGCACUUAAUAUAAAAAUAUAAAAAAAACUG